rnacentral:tRNA from 1 species
GGGAGUUUAGCUCAGCUGGGAGAGCAUCUGCCUUACAAGCAGAGGGUCAGCGGUUUCGAUCCCGUUAACUCCCA